rnacentral:rRNA from 1 species
UCAGUCGACUCCUACGGGGAGGCAGCAGUGGGGAAUAUUGCACAAUCGGGGGGAAACCCUGAUGCAGCCAUGCCGCGUGUGUGAAGAAGGCCUUCGGGUUGUAAAGCACUUUCAGUAGGGAGGAAGGUAGUGUAGUUAACACCUGCAUUAUUUGACGUUACCUACAGAAGAAGCACCGGCUAACUCCGUGCCAGCAGCCGCGGUAAUACGGAGGGUGCGAGCGUUAAUCGGAAUUACUGGGCGUAAAGCGCAUGCAGGCGGCCUGUUAAGUCAGAUGUGAAAGACCCGGGGCUUAACCUCGGAAUUGCAUUUGAAACUGGCAGGCUAGAGUCUUGUAGAGGGGGGUAGGAAUUUCAGGUGUAGCGGUGAAAUGCGUAGAGAUCUGAAGGAAUACCAGUGGCGAAGGCGGCCCCCUGGACAAAGACUGACGCUCAGAUGCGAAAGCGUGGGGAGCAAACAGGAUUAGAUACCCCUGGUAG